GAUGAACGCUGGCGGCGUGCCUAAUACAUGCCAGUCGAGCGAACGGACGAGAAGCUUGCUUCUCUGAUGUUAGCGGCGGACGGGUGAGUAACACGUGGAUAACCUACCUAUAAGACUGGGAUAACUUCGGGAAACCGUAGCUAAUACCGGAUAAUAUUUUGAACCGCAUGGUUCAAAAGUGAAAGACGGUCUUUCUGUCACUUAUAGAUGGAUCCGCGCUGCAUUAGCUAGUUGGUAAGGUAACGGCUUACCAAGGCAACGAUGCAUAGCCGACCUGAGAGGGUGAUCGGCCACACUGGAACUGAGACACGGUCCAGACUCUUACGGGAGGCAGCAGUAGGGAAUCUUCCGCAAUGGGCGAAAGCCUGACGGAGCAACGCCGCGUGAGUGAUGAAGGUCUUCGGAUCGUAAAACUCUGUUAUUAGGGAAGAACAUAUGUGUAAGUAACUGUGCACAUCUUGACGGUACCUAAUCAGAAAGCCACGGCUAACUACGUG
rnacentral:rRNA from 1 species